rfam:Myotis lucifugus cont2.33569, whole genome shotgun sequence.
AGGCCUGGAAAGAGAGGCAAGGUCUGAUCCGCUGCAUCCAUGGCAGCUGUUGAUCAGCCAUUGCCUCUCUCUUUCUCUCUG